ensembl:snoRNA
GGGAGACGGUGUGCAUGGUGUCCCUCCGUGUCAUGUGCUGUUGCUGGGCUGUGUUUUGCAGGCUGUGCAUCAGGACUCACUCCACACCCUGCAGCCAUAGAACACACGGAGAUCAUAGUACUGGCCUUUGUUGUCGAUAAUGACACAUUACCAAUGGCCGGCCUCCAAACUCUCCGACAUAC